CAGAGAUCUAAAGAACAAAGGGGAGUUCCACGGGCAGAGAUUGGGAAAUUCCAUUUCCAUUGGAGGCACAGCCCAGCCCAGCAUGGAGCAGAAGCAGGAGGAGGCGGGGUGUUGGGUGCUGGGGAGACAGAAGGGGCAGAGGAGGAAAGACCCGCAGCAGGCAGAUCACUGGGAAGGGUAGCGGCUUGAAGCCGAGUGGGGGCGGGGGGACAGAAGGACUCAGCCUCAGGUGGACCGCCUGCAAUCAGGAGGCCUGAGGUACACUAGGGCGGUGUCGGCCACUGGGAGGAAGGGCCAGUGGCCCCAGAGCAGGUGGAGACGCCCAGAGGGGCUGGAGCAGUGCUCACAAGGUUCGUCUCUGGCACCAGCACUGCUUCCUACUCAGAGUCCAGAGGACGUGGACACCGGGUCCUGCUGACCCUCGGCUCCUGUCCCCAGCCCACCCCCAACUCAUGAUCCUGCAGCUUUGGGCACCCGGAGCUCUAUGAACCCAACUACUACAGGACGCACACCAGCUUCCAGGUCACAUGACCCAAUUAGGGCCAAGGCCCUGCUGAACUUGCUUGUUUGCUCCUGAGUUUCUGUGUUUCGAAGACAACAAUUCUAACACAUUCCCUAAGGCUCAGGUCUCUCAGGCAUCAAUCUUGGAUCAUAAUACGAUUCCAACUCUGGUGCCCAGGGCCCGGCUGGGGCCCAGCGGGACGGCAGGAGGAAAGAGGGAGGCCCACGCUUCUCCUCCCAAGUGGCUGGUGUCCACCGGGCUCCCUCUCAGCCUCACACUCUGCGUCCCUCUGGGUGUCCUCGUGCAGGCCCGUGGCUUCCAACACCUCCUGGACACAAACCAUG
rnacentral:lncRNA from 1 species